rnacentral:misc_RNA from 1 species
CUGAGGGGCCUUUUCGAUGAUCUCCUUCACGUAAUUCUCUCCGAAGCAGCGGUGGCCGGCGUCGUAGACCUGGCGGAUGAGGGAGACGGGUUUGGUCUUGCUGACGGCCACUACCCGCACUUGAUCCAGCCCGCGGGGACGUCGGGGACGGUCUGGCGCUCCUUGUCGAUGACGAAGUAGAGGGUGACGCCGUGCUUGCGGAGGUCUUUGACGUGGAUGAGGGGGGAGAGGACGUCGCGGCAGA